rnacentral:rRNA from 1 species
AGCGCGCGACGGAAAUGCUUGCUAGUCGUACGAGUUCUACUCGUGGCGAAUAGCUCAGUAACACGUGGUUAAAACCCCUUCGGAGCUCCAUACCCUCGGGAAACUGAGGCUAAUAGAGCAUCACACACCACCACUGGAAUGAGUAGUGUGCCAAACGCUCCGGCGCCGAAGGAUGUGGCUGCGGCCGAUUAGGUAGACGGUGGGGUAACGGCCCACCGUGCCAAUAAUCGGUAUGGGUCAUGAGAGUGAGAACCCAGAGACGGAAUCUGAGACAAGAUUCCGGGCCCUACGGGGCGCAGCAGGCGCGAAACCUUUACACUGCACGACAGUGCGAUAGGGGGAUCCCAAGUGCACAGGCAUAGCGCCUGUGCUUUUCGGUACCCUAAGGCGGUACCAGAAUAAGGGCUGGGCAAGACCGGUGCCAGCCGCCGCGGUAAUACCGGCAGCCCAAGUGAUGGCCGAUCUUAUUGGGCCUAAAGCGUCCGUAGCUGGCCGCGCAAGUCCAUCGGGAAAUCCACCUGCUCAACAGGUGGGCGCCCGGUAGAAACUGCGUGGCUUGGGACCGGAAGGCGCGACGGGUACGUCCGGGGUAGGAGUGAAAUCCCGUAAUCCUGGACGGACCGCCGAUGGCGAAAGCACGUCGCGAGAACGGAUCCGACAGUGAGGGACGAAAGCCAGGGUCUCGAACCGGAUUAGAUACCCGGGUAGUCCUGGCCGUAAACAAUGUCUGCUAGGUGUGGCUCCCACUACGAGUGGGUGCUGUGCCGUAGGGAAGCCGCUAAGCAGACCGCCUGGGAAGUACGUCCGCAAGGAUGAAACUUAAAGGAAUUGGCGGGGGAGCACUACAACCGGAGGAGCCUGCGGUUUAAUUGGACUCAACGCCGGACAUCUCACCAGCAUCGACUGUGGUAAUGACGAUCAGGUUGAUGACCUUAUCCGAGCCUCAGAGAGGAGGUGCAUGGCCGCCGUCAGCUCGUACCGUGAGGCGUCCUGUUAAGUCAGGCAACGAGCGAGACCCGCACUCUUACUUGCCAGCAGUAUCGCGAGAUAGCUGGGGACAGUAGGAGGACCGCCGUGGCUAACACGGAGGAAGGAACGGGCAACGGUAGGUCAGUAUGCCCCGAAUGUGCUGGGCAACACGCGGGCUACAAUGGUCGAGACAAAGGGUUCCUACUCCGAAAGGAGACGGUAAUCUCAGAAACUCGAUCGUAGUUCGGAUUGUGGGCUGCAACUCGCCCACAUGAAGCUGGAUUCGGUAGUAAUCGCGUGUCACAAGCGCGCGGUGGUACGUCCCUGCUCCUUGCACACACCGCCCGUCGCGGUCCCUUAUCCGGAUGAGGCGCGUCCACGCGUCGAUCUGGGUUCGCCUAGUGCGUUUCACCAGGCCG